rnacentral:rRNA from 3 species
AAAUUGAAGAGUUUGAUCAUGGCUCAGAUUGAACGCUGGCGGCAGGCCUAACACAUGCAAGUCGAACGGUAGCACAGAGAGCUUGCUCUUGGGUGACGAGUGGCGGACGGGUGAGUAAUGUCUGGGAAACUGCCUGAUGGAGGGGGAUAACUACUGGAAACGGUGGCUAAUACCGCAUAA